rnacentral:rRNA from 1 species
GGAGGAAUUUUGCGCAAUGGCCGCAAGGCUGACGCAGCAACGCCGCGUGGGUGACGAAGGCCUUCGGGCCGUAAAGCCCUGUCAGGUGGGAAGAAAGGCCUGGAGAGGAAAGGUUUCAGGUUUGACGGUACCACCAGAGGAAGCACCGGCUAACUCCGUUCCAGCAGCCGCGGUAAUACGGAGGGUGCGAGCGUUAUUCGGAAUUACUGGGCGUAAAGCGCGUGUAGGCGGGGGGACAAGUCUGAUGUGAAAGCCCUGGGCUUAACCUGGGAAGCGCAUUGGAAACUGUUUUUCUUGAGUACUGGAGAGGAAGGGGGAAUUCCCGGUGUAGAGGUGAAAUUCGUAGAGAUCGGGAGGAAUACCAGUGGCGUAGGCGCCCUUCUGGACGGUAACUGACGCUGAGACGCGAAAGCGUGGGGAGCAAACAG